GCACUUUCUCGGCUUUUUGGUUAAGAUCAAGUGUAGUAUAUGUUCUUAUUAGUAGUUUCAGAUGAUUGACCCAAUGGUCAUUAAUUAUUAGGCAUAGAAUUUGU
rfam:Prunus persica cultivar Lovell chromosome G7, whole genome shotgun sequence.